rnacentral:lncRNA from 1 species
UUUUAAUAAUAAUUAGAAUAAGUGGGAAAUUAAUAUUAUUUUGGAGGUUGGGGAGUUAAUUAGGAAUUAAUAGAAUUAAGGGGAGUUUAAUAGAAUUAAAGGGAAGUUACUUUUUGGGAGUUAAGAAAAGAGAAUUCAGAGAAAUAGUUUUCACGUACAAUCAUGUUUUGGGAGAAAAACCAGAGAAAGCCAAGAGGAGAACCAAGCAGGGAGAUUUUGAUCUUGAGAGCUUUUCUUUCUGCAAAACUAAGGUAAGGGUGAGGUUUACUUUCAAUAGUAUGGAUUAUAAUUCUGAUUUUGGUUUAACCUAGUUCUGGUAGAAAUUGGGAAUUUGGGUCUAGGUUUUGAUUCUUCGAAUUCUGGACGGAAUGA